rnacentral:rRNA from 1 species
UACGUAGGGUGCAAGCGUUAUCCGGAAUGAUUGGGCGUAAAGCGUCCGCAGGUGGCAGUUCAAGUCUGCUGUCAAAGACCGGGGCUUAACUCCAUACCGGCGGUGGAAACUGAUGAGCUAGAGUGCGAUAGGGGUAGCAGGAAUUCCCAGUGUAGCGGUGAAAUGCGUAGAUAUUGGGAAGAACACCUGAGGCGAAGGCGGGUUGCUGGGCCGACACUGACGCUGAGGCGCGAAAGCCAGGGGAGCAAACGGG